rnacentral:rRNA from 1 species
GACGAACGCUGGCGGCGUGCUUAACACAUGCAAGUCGAACGGAAAGGCACUGCUUUUGUGGGGUGCUCGAGUGGCGAACGGGUGAGUAACACGUGAGUAACCUGCCCUUGACUUUGGGAUAACUUCAGGAAACUGGGGCUAAUACCGGAUAGGAGCUCCUGCUGCAUGGUGGGGGUUGGAAAGUUUCGGCGGUUGGGGAUGGACUCGCGGCUUAUCAGCUUGUUGGUGGGGUAGUGGCUUACCAAGGCUUUGACGGGUAGCCGGCCUGAGAGGGUGACCGGCCACAUUGGGACUGAGAUACGGCCCAGACGCCUACGGGAGGCAGCAGUGGGGAAUAUUGCACAAUGGGCGGAAGCCUGAUGCAGCAACGCCGCGUGCGGGAUGACGGCCUUCGGGUUGUAAACCGCUUUCGCCUGUGACGAAGCGUGAGUGACGGUAAUGGGUAAAGAAGCACCGGCUAACUACGUG